rnacentral:misc_RNA from 1 species
CCAAUAGCGUAUAUUAAAGUUGUUGCAGUUAAAAAGCUCGUAGUUGAAUUUCAGGCCUGGCUGGACGGUCCGCCCUUCGGGUGAGUACUGUCUGUGGUCGGGUCCUACCUUCUGGCGAAGCGUCAUGGCCUUAACCGGCCGUGGCGGGGAACCAGGACUUUUACUGUGAAAAAAUUAGAGUGUUCAAAGCAGGCAAUCGCUUGGAUACAUUAGCAUGGAAUAAUGGAAUAGGACAAUGGUUCUAUUUGUUGGUUUCUAGGACCGUUGUAAUGAUUAAUAGGGAUAGUUGGGGGCAUUAGUAUUCAAUUGUCAGAGGUGAAAUUCUUGGAUUUAUUGAAGACUAACUACUGCGAAAGCAUUUGCCAAGGAUGUUUUCAUUAAUCAAGAACGAAAGUUAGGGGAUCGAAGACGAUCAGAUACCGUCGUAGUCUUAACCAUAAACUAUGCCGACUAGGAAUCGGGCGAUGUUGAAAAAAUGACGCGUUCGGCACCUCAUG